CCUACGGGUGGCAGCAGUGAGGAAUAUUGGUCAAUGGACGAGAGUCUGAACCAGCCAAGUAGCGUGAAGGAUGACUGCCCUAUGGGUUGUAAACUUCUUUUAUAUGGGAAUAAAAUGUUCCACGUGUGGGUUUUUGUAUGUACCAUAUGAAUAAGGAUCGGCUAACUUCGUGCCAGCAGCCGCGGUAAUACGGAGGAUCCGAGCGUUAUCCGGAUUUAUUGGGGUUAAAGGGAGCGUAGGUGGAUUGUUAAGUCAGUUGUGAAAGUUUGCGGCUCAACCGUAAAAUUGCAGUUGAAACUGGCAGUCUUGAGUGCAGUAGAGGUAGGCGGAAUUCGUGGUGUAGCGGUGAAAUGCUUAGAUAUCACGAAGAACUCCGAUUGCGAAGGCAGCUCGCUGGACUGCAACUGACACUGAGGCUCGAAAGUGUGGGUAUCAAACAGGAUUAGAUACCCUGGUAGUC
rnacentral:rRNA from 1 species